UACGGAGGGAGCUAGCGUUGUUCGGAAUUACUGGGCGUAAAGCGCACGUAGGCGGCUUUGUAAGUUAGAGGUGAAAGCCCGGAGCUCAACUCCGGAACUGCCUUUAAGACUGCAUCGCUUGAAUCCAGGAGAGGUGAGUGGAAUUCCGAGUGUAGAGGUGAAAUUCGUAGAUAUUCGGAAGAACACCAGUGGCGAAGGCGGCUCACUGGACUGGGUAUUGACGCUGAGGUGGCGAAAGCGUG
rnacentral:rRNA from 1 species